rnacentral:snoRNA from 1 species
AUGUGCGCGAUGAACUCUUUACCAUCUUUCGGGGCAUAACACUCUUGAUGAUAACAUACCCAUUUGCUGAGCGC